CAGCCCUGCGAGGUGGCACCCAGGCUCCAGCCCGGAGCAAUCAGGCGCGGCCGUACAUGCCAGAGGGCCGGGGCGUGUCCCCAGAACCCCAAGGCCAGCGGGGCCCGGGCGGCAGAGGAGGAGCGCAGAGUGCUCUCCACCAGCCCUUCUGACUGAGAAACAAACGAGUUUCUGUUCCCUUUCUAGGACAUAGAACAGAAAACCAAACAUUUCACCACAGCCAUUUGCUUCUUCGCCAGGAAAACACCUGGCAGGACCUAUCUCCAGGGCCGCUAGCUGACUGCACAACGAAUGCACAAAGGCGAGUCUUUCCAGGCUCAGAUAUGCCAACUAUCGGUUUUACCCAAGAAACUUUGAAAAUACACAUUCUGCAUACUUCUGCACAUUGUGGACAACUCUAUACCGCUUGCAUAGCCCCACACCCCUGUCACAGGCAGGAGGAGGAUGCUUAAAGCUGCCACUGGAGACGGAUACAGCACAUGGUUGUUCUGGAAAAGUCCCUUUCAGGUGAGCACUCUCUCUUUGGAGGUAAUUGUGUGUUCAGGAGUGUUCCUUCCUCCUCCCUUCUUUCUUUCUCCUCCCCUCUUUCCGCCAAGGUAAUAAAAAGUUAAAAGUAAACACACACAGGAACCCCAAUCCCGGGAAGUGGCAGCACUGGGUCCCCAAGCCAAGCGCCACCCUUAUGUUCGGGAAAGACACCUGGCAGAUGAGCUGAGUCUUGAGUCUCCUUACACGUGGUCCUGGGGUUUCUAUCAGGGUCUCUGUUUGCUUGCACCUCCUUUAUAUCAGAUCGUUGUUAGCCCCUUUCCCCAUGAGGGAGCCAUCCCUGUCCUAACCCUCCAGUCUCUUCACUGUGGCUUGUGGAAAACCACACUUUGGUUCUGUGACAUUAAAGCCCUUCCUCCCUGGGCUAACAGUCCUCUGGGCCCAGCUCUUUUGGGAAAAGGGUUACAGUGAAACAUUGA